GGCGGCGUGCCUAAUACAUGCAAGUCGAGCGCGGGAAGCGGACUCGUCACCCUUCGGGGUGUCUAGUCCGUGGAACGAGCGGCGGAUGGGUGAGUAUCACGUGGGCAACCUGCCUGUAAGAUUGGGAUAACUCGCGGAAACGUGAGCUAAUACCGAAUGAAGUCUUUCACCGCCUGGUGAAAGGAUGAAAGAUGGCUUUUAGCUAUCACUUACAGAUGGGCCCGCGGCGCAUUAGCUAGUUGGUGGGGUAAAGGCCUACCAAGGCGACGAUGCGUAGCCGACCUGAGAGGGUGAUCGGCCACACUGGGACUGAGACACGGCCCAGACUCCUACGGGAGGCAGCAGUAGGGAAUCUUCCGCAAUGGACGAAAGUCUGACGGAGCAACGCCGCGUGAGUGAUGAAGGUCUUCGGAUCGUAAAAACUCUGUUGUCAGGGAAGAACAAGUUGUGUUCUAACAGGACAUGACCUUGACGGUACCUGACCAGAAAGCCCCGGCUAACUACGUGCCAGCAGCCGC
rnacentral:rRNA from 1 species